UACGGGAGGCAGCAGUGGGGAAUAUUGCACAAUGGGCGCAAGCCUGAUGCAGCCAUGCCGCGUGUAUGAAGAAGGCCUUCGGGUUGUAAAGUACUUUCAGUCGUGAGGAAGGUGUUAAGGUUAAUAACCUUAGCAAUUGACGUUAGCGACAGAAGAAGCACCGGCUAACUCCGUGCCAGCAGCCGCGGUAAUACGGAGGGUGCGAGCGUUAAUCGGAAUUACUGGGCGUAAAGGGCACGCAGGCGGUUAAUUAAGUUGGAUGUGAAAUCCCCGGGCUUAACCUGGGAAUGGCAUUCAAGACUGGUUAGCUAGAGUCUUGUAGAGGGGGUAGAAUUCCAUGUGUAGCGGUGAAAUGCGUAGAGAUGUGGAGGAAUACCGGUGGCGAAGGCGGCCCCUGGACAAACGACUGACGCUCAUGUGCGAAAGCGUGGGGAGCAAACAGGGAUUAGAUA
rnacentral:rRNA from 1 species